rnacentral:ncRNA from 1 species
UAAAAAGUCGGACAUGUUCCAUUCUCAAUGGGAUCUUUCGCCAACCUAUUUUGAACCUUGAAAUUUCGAUUACUAUUUGCUAUUGUUGAUAACCGUACCCUAAACCGCAUCAGGUCUCCAAGGUUAACAGCCUAUGGUUAAGUGGAAUAAAGUAGAUGAGGGAAGUCGGCAAAUUCGAUCUGUAACUUUGGAAAAAGGAUUGGCUCUGGACGUCAGUGAUUUAACUUGUUAAGUCACAAUUAUGACAUAUCCAGAACUGGUGUUGACUAGAGGAAUCUGACUGUUUAAUUAAAACAAAGCAUUGUGUAAAGUUGAAAAACUAUACACGCAAUGUGAUUUCUGCCCAGUGCUCUGAAUGUUAUUGUGAUGAGAUUCGCAUAAGCGCGGGUAAACGGCGGGAGUAACUAUGACUCUCUUAAGGUAGCCAAAUGCCUCGUCGUCUAAUUAAUGACGUGCAUGAAUGGAUCAAUGAGAUUCCUACUGUCCCCAACUACUAUCCAGUGAAACCACAGCCAAGGGAACGGGCUUGGCAAUAUAAGCGGGGAAAGAAGACCCUGUUGAGCUUGACUCUAGUUUGAUAUUGUAAAACUACUUGGAAGAUGUAGCAUACGUGGGAGCAUCUAAUGCGACAGUGAAAUACCACGGCUUCUAAUGUGGCUUUGCUCACUCGGAAUUAGUGGAUCUGCUCUGCAGAAACGCGAAACUAAAGUGUAAACGACAUUCACUGAGGACAUUAUCAAAUGGGGAGUUUGGCUGGGGCGGCACAUCUGCUAAACAUCAACGCAGAUGCCCUAAGGUUAACUCAAAGAGAACAGAAAUCUCUUGUAGACCGAAAGGAGAAAAGUUAGCAUUAUUCGGAUUUGUAUCAUCAAUAAGAAUUGCGAAAGCAUGGCCUAUCGAUCCUUUAAGCCCAGAAAGAUUCUGGCUAGAGGUGACGGAAAAGUUACCACAGGGAUAACUGGCUUGUGGCAGCCAAGCGUUCAUAGCGACGUUGCUUUUUGAUCCUUCGAUGUCGGCUCUUCCUAUCAUUGAGUUGCAGAAGUCUCAAAGUGUCGGAUUGUUCACCCGUUAAUAGGGAACGUGAGCUGGGUUUAGACCGUCGUGAGACAGGUUAGUUUUAUCCUACUUAUACACGCAUCAAAAGAGUUAAUCAACUUAGUACGAGAGGAACCGUUGAUUCAAACCGCUGGUUAAGCGUUUGACUGUAAAGUCAAAGACGCAAAGCUACGUUUGAUGGAUAAUGACUGAACGCCUCUAAGUCAAAAUCCUAACUUGUGAAAAGAUGUAUUAGUCAGUAAAGGUUCGAUACUAAUAUGAAAGACUUUAC